GAUUGACUUGGGAGAGUUUGCAGUUUUAACUUUUUAAGAAACUUUAUCAUGUUUUUUUUUUUCUUCCCUCAAAAUUGUGAGUUAAUUGCAAGAAAAUGUGCGUCAUUUACAGGUUUAAACCACUCAAGUAACCACCAACCACCUGAGGAGCAGGAGGGUGGUUGGACCAUCGACAUUCAUGUUUGUAUUAAGUGUGUGAGACACAAUGAGAGGCAGGAUGACAAAGACAGUAUGAGUCAAGACUACAGGCACUCCUUAUUUUUAUAGAUCUAAGAUUUAUAUUAUUUUCACAAAACCAAAUGGUAUAAUCGCACCUUGCCUAUUGUGCUUGGAGUGUAAUCGCCUAUCUCACACCUGAAAAAAUAAACCCUUUUAGACAGUCAACAACAACAACAGCUCUGAAACUGUAGAAUGCUAAACAAUGGCUGAUUUCCGCACGAGUUAAACAGAGACUUAGAUUUCAACUAACCUACAGGACUUAAGGUAAGAAAUGCCUCAGAGAACAGUCCAAACUGAGCAUUUGCAGUUUGUGCUCCACAGCUGUGAACUCUCUGCUUAAAGAUGUCAAACAAACUCAGUGUCCUUUAUGCCACUUUUACCAGACACAGCCCACAAACUACUUCAGUUCCUCUUCUUAUUUCUUGCUCUUGAAAUACUGCGAAACUAUGUCUAGCUACAACGCUUCCCCUCUGUAAAGCACUAUAGUAUCAUGGCAGGCGCUAUGACUGCCACCACAGAUAGAUUCUGGGGGAAACACUGCAGACACAAUACAUAACAAGCUCGUUGGCUAAUACAAAAUGUCAAAACUCAAGUGAGGAACUUUUGGUUUUUGUAAACUCUGGCGCCUCUUGUGGACAAAGGAAUCUUUGCUGAUUUUGUCUUCUCCAUGCUUAAGUAGUCACCUGGUGGACCCUACUUCACCCUACCGGUGAGCUGGAAUACAUCACUCAUAAUAAAACCGCUGAUGAGUAUGUGACGAAAUGAUGAUAGGAUGAAAAUGGUGGCUUGUUGGACAUUUAAGUUCAUCAUAGUUUACCCACUUUGGUGUGGCACAUCUGUCAAAAUACAAGCAAUGCAUUCCUGGUCAUUGAUCCUGUUUAUCACAGGGAAAUAUCAUCUAUCUCCAUGCUACUUUCUUGUUUUCAUUCAUAAUUUUAUCCCACAUUAGAUAUGAUAAACUCUAAAUCAUCAGACAGAGAUGCAGCUGAGAGUAAAGGGAAGUGAGUUCGAAGGACACUGGAGGCCAGGCCUGGACCUCCUAGAAGUCAAACCAAAUAAAUACAACCACAGAAAAUGUGUUUUGCAGAAGGACAAAAAAUUCAUGCAUAUUAACAACCAACUAAAUCCAAUAGUUUAGAAAAAUCAAAAUUCCAAUAUUUAAAGUCUGGAUGGAUACAUACUCUUUUUGAUGCAGGAUCCUGUGUAGCAUACAGUAGUGUGUCAGCUUUACAAAUCUUGGUUUCCAGCAGUUUAAACACACAUACCUCUCUGGUCACUGACGUUACAUGAAUGAGUACCUGAUGAUCUAACGUUUACCUGAAUCCCCUUCAGCUGAAUUCUGUCUGACACCGAUUCCCACUCCCUGCUGAGUCCAGAUCCUCUGACAAACUCAGAAGUCUGACAGUCCUCACCUUUUAUACAUAAAACCUGUCUACAAAGUCAGUCAUGUUCCCGGCGUCACACACUGAAGCUGGUUCAGAGGAGUCUUUUGUCCCUGAAAUUAAAUUUGUCCUUUAAUGACAGUGACGAAGAAUUUCUGAUCAUCCUACACAGCUUGAUAAGGUGAGAUGACGUCUCGCAGCUCAAACUGAUUCAGAAGCUGUAAUUAUCCUGCAACAACUGAAUGAAUUGCCAACCCUUCAAAAAGGCAAGGGCACUCAGCAGAAAGAAGAUGGCUGCUGAUUUAUGAAUAUAGUGAACGGCUCUGAAUCAACAGUGAAAUAAUCAGUUGGAGAGACGUGCUUAAUGUGCGCAAUCUAAAUAAAACCAGCAAGCUUCUCUUCAGCCUGAAUGUAGCUGCAGUGACUCAAAUAUCUCUUUUCACAACAAAAUGAGACAGGGGUGUAUUUUUUGGUGCCAGUGUGUGGAUUGAUGUUUGAAUUCUGUCAUUAAAAUUUCAUGCACCUCACGCACAACGCAGAGCAAAUGUUGACACCACGCUCUACCAAAGGAGGAGGAGGCAUGCAAGAAACAGGUCCUCCCUUGAGUGACAGGGAAGAAUUUAUUUAUUUAUUUAUUUGACAAUGAGAUGGAAGAAAAACACAAUCAGGGGUUGUUUUAGCGGAGACCUGACCAGCGGAGACCUGACACACACACACACACACACACACACACACACACAUACAUACAGACACACGUCUAACAUGCACCGUCUCACAAAGCUGAUCGUGCUCUUCUUCUAUGAUGGUCUUUACCAGCUAGGUCUCCACCAAGCGUAAAGGUCAUUUGCCUUUUUCUUCCUGGGAAAGUACCAACCAUGUUCCAAGUCGGCUGUCUCACUGGUUGAUUGGCACAAAGAUCGUCUUCAGGGAAUGUGUCAAAGACACGAACAUAGAGCUGUAAGAAAAACAACACUGUGGGAUGUCUAAAUGAACAAUAACGAUAGCUUUAAAUGUGUUGCGUCAAAGUCAACAAAAGUGAGCAGUGGCAUCAACUCUUAGCCACACUUUGCAGAUCUAAGUCACUCUUUUUGGUAAAUCUCUCAACACAUCUACACUCUUUGAAAUCUGUGUCAGACACAUGUUGAAGCACAAUGGUAAUCACAUGGGUAAGAACUCAAACACAAGCACAGCACAAGUGUCACAGUUACGUACUACAACUCAAAACUAAAACACUCCUUGCUAAUGGCCUGAUGACACUAAUACCACUUAGAGACCCAUUCUGAUGACAAUCAUGUUUUUCUUGUUGUCCACAUGGUCAUAUGGCAUUUUUCUGAUGCUACAGGAUAUAUCGUGAGAAAACUAAGUGAAAUUGCAUUUCUGUGUAUUUCUGCAUUCAAAUCACUGUGAAUCUCUGACGGACCCAAAUGGCAGGUUUAGAAACAGUGAACCUUCCUGUGUCACAACUCCAAGCUCCAUCCCCAGAGCCCCA
rnacentral:lncRNA from 1 species